GACGAACGCUGCCUUUCAAGAUUACACAUGCUAGUCGAACGAUGAAGCCUAGCUUGCUAGGUGGAUUAGUGGCGAACGGGUGAGUAAUACGUGAGUAACCUACCUUUAACUCUGGGAUAAGCCUGGGAAACUGGGUCUAAUACCGGAUACGACCAAUCUCCGCAUGGGGUGUUGGUGGAAAGCGUUAUGUAGUGGUUAUAGAUGGGCUCACGGCCUAUCAGCUUGUUGGUGAGGUAACGGCUCACCAAGGCGACGACGGGUAGCCGGCCUGAGAGGGUGACCGGCCACACUGGGACUGAGACACGGCCCAUACUCCUACGGGAGGCAGCAGUGGGGAAUAUUGCACAAUGGGCGCAAGCCUGAUGCAACGACGCCGCGUGACGGAUGACGGCCUUCGGGUUGUAAACCUCUGUUUGCUGGGAAUAAGAGAGAUUGACGGUACCUGCAGAGAAAGCGCCGGCUAACUACGUGCCAUCAUCCGCGGUUAAUACCUAGGGCGCGAGCGCUGCCCGGAAUUAUUGGGCGUAAAGAGCUUGUAGGCGGUUUGUCGCGUCUGCUGUGAAAGGCCGGAGCUUAACUCCGUGUAUUGCAGUGGGUACGGGCAGACUAGAGUGCAGUAGGGGAGACUGGAAUUCCUGGUGUAGCGGUGGAAUGCGCAGAUAUCAGGAGGAACACCGAUGGCGAAGGCAGGUCUCUGGGCUGUAACUGACGCUGAGAAGCGAAAGCAUGGGGAGCGAACAGGAUUAGAUACCCUGGUAGUCCAUGCCGUAAACGUUGGGCACUAGGUGUGGGGGACAUUCCACGUUUCCCGCGCCGUAGCUAACGCAUUAAGUGCCCCGCCUGGGGAGUACGGCCGCAAGGCUAAAACUCAAAGAAAUUGACGGGGGCCCGCACAAGCGGCGGAGCAUGCGGAUUAAUUCGAUGCAACGCGAAGAACCUUACCAAGGCUUGACAUAUACUGGACCGCAUCAGAGAUGGUGUUUCCCUUCGGGGCUGGUAUACAGGUGGUGCAUGGUUGUCGUCAGCUCGUGUCGUGAGAUGUUGGGUUAAGUCCCGCAACGAGCGCAACCCUCGUUCUAUGUUGCCAGCACGUUAUGGUGGGGACUCAUAGGAGACUGCCGGGGUCAACUCGGAGGAAGGUGGGGAUGACGUCAAAUCAUCAUGCCCCUUAUGUCUUGGGCUUCACGCAUGCUACAAUGGCCGGUACAGAGGGUUGCGAUACUGUGAGGUGGAGCUAAUCCCUAAAAGCCGGUCUCAGUUCGGAUUGGGGUCUGCAACUCGACCCCAUGAAGUCGGAGUCGCUAGUAAUCGCAGAUCAGCAACGCUGCGGUGAAUACGUUCCCGGGCCU
rnacentral:rRNA from 1 species